ensembl:processed_transcript 4921531C22Rik RIKEN cDNA 4921531C22 gene
AAAAGACGCGGCCAAUGGCUGCGAGCGCCAGAGGCCGGGGAGCAGGCUAGGCGCUGGGUGCUGGUCGGCUGUUGGAGCGCUGGUGGGAAUGGCAGCGGGGCCGGGAGAGCGGCGGCUCUAGGCGCCGGGUGGGUCGCGGCAGCCGGCUGCGGGGUUCGCCCUUUGUCUGCACCCUUCCAAAAUGGCUGCGGCCAGGGCGGGCGGUGACAGCUGCGCGGGCGCUCCCGGGGCCCCGGCGGUCAGAGAGGAGCAGGAGUCCUGGCACGAAGGCGCUUUCGGGGCGGAGAGGUGCGCAGAGGACGCCGCGGACACGACGGGUCAGCUCCCCUGACUUACAGCGGCCGAAAACAAAUUCCAGAUGGCAAAGCUUGUUGGGGACCUCAACGCAACUGACCUUCCUAGAAUCAUCGUCACCUCUGAAGAGACUUGCCACGGUCUGCACAGAUCCAGCACUGGGGAAUGAGGAAUUUGACACUGUAAUUUUUUUUUUUUCCUUUCGUGCCUUGAAAGAGACUCUUCCCACCAGCUUUUACUACCCACACACACCCUCCAUGCACUCGGAAGAUGAAGGCAGGAGGAAAAGGAGUUCAACCUUUGUUAUGCAUUUAGUUGGAGGCCAGCCUGGGGGUCUUGUGGGGCCCUGUAUCAAAAAGGUGAGGUGAGAACUAUUCUCUCAAAAGCAGAGUAUAAACUCUCAGCCUGUGUGCUGAUCCUGUCCCAGCCUUUUAAACUAAAUGAGUUAUAUAACUACUAUACAAACCCCACCCUACCCCAGCUGUCCUCUAAGCAAUAGUCUACCUAAGGAACUGUGCGCCUUGAAGCCAAAAAACAAAACAAACAAACAAACCCCACAGUGCCCUCACUUGCAAAGUGUGCUUGGGAAUCCUUAAAUAACAGAAAUUUUGUUCUUGAACAUCAGCCUCCAGAUUUGGAAAGCCAGUAAAAAGAAAGAGACAAUGAGGAAGCAGGUUGGGUGCUAGAAGCCAGUAUAGGCUUGACACACACUAGAAGGAACAGAAAUUCACAGUUGUAAAUAAAACCCACGAGUCUUCUUUUGACACAGGAGAACACGUUCAGGGCCAAGAGCAUCAUCCUGAGUGAGUGGGACACUACUUAGUCACAGCCCCCAGCCACAAGUCACAGAAUUCUUUACUCUUGAUAAUGGUUUGAAGAUUUUAAAGUGGACCAAAGGAUCAGAAGGUUCUUGCUAAUCCUCUUGAUGCCGGUUAAUGGGACCCACCAGUUAGGUGUACAGUAGCCUGUACCCCGAAGCCAUUAGGUGACAGGGAGCACAACAAUGAGAGCCAUAGCAAAGCCCAGGCUCUGGAGCUCACAGGCCUCUUGGUACCACGGUACACAGCCUCCUUCCAUUCUUAAGCAUCUGCUAAUGACACAGCCCCUGAGCCACCAAGACUUAAGUUACAGGUGCAGGGUUUAGGGUCUGUGCCCACCAGUCCCUUCAUUCCUUGCUGCAGAGCCCAGUGUGGGAGCCACACAUCUUUCAGGUAGCUGUUUUCAAGUGCAGAGCUCUUAAGACUGAAGUGGGUGGAGCUAAAAAGUCUCCUCCCCUCCUCAAAAUCUAUAUGCAAGGGGCAGUAGACACUAUUAAAGCCUUAACCUUUGUCACUCUGGAGACUGAAGAACAAAUUUUCUUUAAAUUGUCUCUCCCUUUGAUACAUUGCCAUAGGCCAUUAUGACUUUCAUAGUUUGAACUAGCAUUAAAAGAGAAAAGGAAGAAUCAUUAAAUAUAAAGUAUAAAUAAAACACCCAUUUUGUAGAAACAGGGGACAACCUUUUGCAAGUAGGUUCCUGCCACCAUAGGUUUAAGGGAUCAAAUUUUUAUCAGGCUAAUAUGGCAACUACUUUUAUCUGCUUAACCAUUUCACCAGCACAAGAUGUUUAAUU